GACGAACUGUGCAAACGUUAUUCGGAAUCACUGGGCUUGAAGAGUGCGUAGGCGGUUUCGUAAGUAGGGUGUGAAAGCCCCCGGCUCAACCUCGGAACUGCCUUCGAUACUGCGGGUCUCGAGUCCGGGAGAGGUGAGUGGAAUUCCUAGUGUAGAGGUGAAAUUCGUAGAUAUUAGGAAGAACACCAGUGGCGAGGGCGGCUCACUGGCCCGGUACUGACGCUGAGGCGCGAAAGCGUGGGGAGCAAACAGG
rnacentral:rRNA from 1 species